AUGAGAAAGUCGGGUGUUAAAAUGUUGGGAGAUUACAAAGUUCAUGCUCUAUUCACACAUGGUGGAGGCAACCCAACAAGUUGUUACGGGAGCCAGCAGAGAAAGGAGUCGAGGAACCCGCAUCAUGGGAGAGUCAUCGAGGGGCAUCCGGAUAAAGUGAGACACUGCAUUGUAUAUAUAUGGUCAGAAUAUAUAACCAUAUUCUACAUACAAUGCACGCUCAGUAUUCUUUGUUGCACAUUCUUAAAUCUUUCACGUGAAAUCUUCAUGCUAACUAUAUACAUUGCUUGUGCUGGUUGGUUAUGA
rnacentral:rRNA from 1 species